ACUUUACCCAUUUUUCACAACAACCAUUUUUCCUCACUCUUUUUUUCAUGGCAGCUCCAGAGACAUUCACCUAGACCCUAAACCCCAGUUAUCGGCUAUCUGUGUUUGAUUGCAGAUCAGAGCAAGUUGCGUGGAGACAGAAAAAGACAGGGGGAGCAGAGAAGAGGAAGUAUAAUAAUAUUUGAAAGAUGUGCAUAAUUCCUGUUGCAACAAUAAAUUAUUACAAUACA